GGCCACUGCUGGCUGCCCACACAGCUCCCCUCUGCUGCUCAGACAGUGAUUCCAGAAUCUUCUGGAUGGCUGUCCCCUGCCUGAUCACGCCCGCCUCUCUCUGCUCCCAGAGUAGUUUCACCUCUCGAAACUGCAACUGCUUCUUCUCACAGAACUUCCUUAUUAAAUGGGGAAAUUGGCCCAUGUUAAAGGCACAUUCACAUCUAGGGGACUCUCUCCGAUGAAAAUAGAAAAAUUGAAAACAUCUUAAAAGUGACAUCUUUGAAGAAAACUGGGAACGACUGUUCCAAAUGCUGUAUGCCAAGAAUAAGUGCGGGGAGAUUUCCAUACCUGUGAAAUUCAUUUUCAGGGCACCUCGGGCCAGCCCCGCUCUGCUGUUCCCAUGGGACUCGAGGAGACGUGGCAGGUGAAGACCUGGUCCCAACAUCGGCCUUUUUCCCCACGGAAGAGGGGGAACCAGACCAUGACUGCUCUGAGGUGACUGAUGAAGUCUACACGAG